ensembl:lncRNA
GCAGGGUGAGGGCUCCUACAAAGGCAAGCGCCGGCUCCUUUGGUCCAUCAAGAGCAGUCUGGCAGAGUUCAAUGAGGAGUACGAGCAUAUCACUGAGCAGUUACAGCUGAUGAGUCUUUAUCUCUUGGCUUAUGCGCUUGUUGAGGAUUAAACACAUGUCAACUGAACUUCUGGUUUCUGACAGGAUGCUCAUGAGUUCCUGCUCCUCCUCUUCAUGAAGAUGAAGAUGGAAGGUGAGACACUGCAGGAGAUCUCCACGUCACCCAGCUAUAUCUAUCAGAACUUUGAGUUCAGACUGCAGUGUGUACGCACAUGCACCAGGUAACGCUUGACUUCAUCGAACGUAUUAUUGUUGUCGCAUAAUACUACUAUAGUUCCUCCAUCAUUGAAUGAUGGAAAUCAGAGUCAAUCAAUGUUACGCCAACACUUUUGGCAUCAUGAUCUGGUCUGCUGUGUUCAAAUGGUGAUUUUCUGUUCUCUGCCCGUCUUAAAAGCUGCGGUGACAAGGUCUUCCAGGAGGAGGAGCAGAACCACUUGUCCUUGGACCUCCAUCCGUCGUUGAUAGCUGGCCUCCAAUUCUACUUCAAACCUUCAGAGUUGGAGUGCACCUGCCGGCAGUGCUCUGGAUGCCAGGCAACAGCGGUUCGGCAUUUCCUCACUCUGCCCAGAGUGUUACUCCUUCACAUGAAGCGCUUCCAC